rnacentral:rRNA from 1 species
CAGCAGCCGCCACGGUAACACGGAGGGUGCAAGCGUUAAUCGGAAUUACUGGGCGUAAAGCGCACGCAGGCGGUCUGUCAAGUCAGAUGUGAAAUCCCCGGGCUUAACCUGGGAACUGCAUUUGAAACUGGCAGGCUAGAGUCUUGUAGAGGGGGGUAGAAUUCCAGGUGUAGCGGUGAAAUGCGUAGAGAUCUGGAGGAAUACCGGUGGCGAAGGCGGCCCCCUGGACAAAGACUGACGCUCAGGUGCGAAAGCGUGGGGAGCAAACAGGAUUAGAUACCCGGGUAGUCCCUGUCUCUUAUAA